rnacentral:hammerhead_ribozyme from 1 species
AUCCAGAUGACGAGUCUAUAAUAGAACGAAACGCGCGUUCUGGAU